rnacentral:rRNA from 1 species
GAUGAACGCUGGCGGCGUGCCUAAUACAUGCAAGUCGAGCGAACGGACGAGAAGCUUGCUUCUCUGAUGUUAGCGGCGGACGGGUGAGUAACACGUGGAUAACCUACCUAUAAGACUGGGAUAACUUCGGGAAACCGGAGCUAAUACCGGAUGAUAUUUUGAACCGCAUGGUUCAAAAGUGAAAGACGGUCUUGCUGUCACUUAUAGAUGGAUCCGCGCUGCAUUAGCUAGUUGGUAAGGUAACGGCUUACCAAGGCAACGAUGCAUAGCCGACCUGAGAGGGUGAUCGGCCACACUGGAACUGAGACACGGUCCAGACUCCUACGGGAGGCAGCAGUAGGGAAUCUUCCGCAAUGGGCGAAAGCCUGACGGAGCAACGCCGCGUGAGUGAUGAAGGUCUUCGGAUCGUAAAACUCUGUUAUUAGGGAAGAACAUAUGUGUAAGUAACUGUGCACAUCUUGACGGUACCUAAUCAGAAAGCCACGGCUAACUACGUGCCAGCAGCCGCGGUAAUACGUAGGUGGCAAGCGUUAUCCGGAAUUAUUGGGCGUAAAGCGCGCGUAGGCGGUUUUUUAAGUCUGAUGUGAAAGCCCACGGCUCACCGUGGAGGGUCAUUGGAAACUGGAAAACUUGAGUGCAGAAGAGGAAAGUGGAAUUCCAUGUGUAGCGGUGAAAUGCGCAGAGAUAUGGAGGAACACCAGUGGCGAAGGCGACUUUCUGGUCUGUAACUGACGCUGAUGUGCGAAAGCGUGGGGAUCAAACAGGAUUAGAUACCCUGGUAGUCCACGCCGUAAACGAUGAGUGCUAAGUGUUAGGGGGUUUCCGCCCCUUAGUGCUGCAGCUAACGCAUUAAGCACUCCGCCUGGGGAGUACGACCGCAAGGUUGAAACUCAAAGGAAUUGACGGGGACCCGCACAAGCGGUGGAGCAUGUGGUUUAAUUCGAAGCAACGCGAAGAACCUUACCAAAUCUUGACAUCCUUUGACAACUCUAGAGAUAGAGCCUUCCCCUUCGGGGGACAAAGUGACAGGUGGUGCAUGGUUGUCGUCAGCUCGUGUCGUGAGAUGUUGGGUUAAGUCCCGCAACGAGCGCAACCCUUAAGCUUAGUUGCCAUCAUUAAGUUGGGCACUCUAAGUUGACUGCCGGUGACAAACCGGAGGAAGGUGGGGAUGACGUCAAAUCAUCAUGCCCCUUAUGAUUUGGGCUACACACGUGCUACAAUGGACAAUACAAAGGGCAGCGAAACCGCGAGGUCAAGCAAAUCCCAUAAAGUUGUUCUCAGUUCGGAUUGUAGUCUGCAACUCGACUACAUGAAGCUGGAAUCGCUAGUAAUCGUAGAUCAGCAUGCUACGGUGAAUACGUUCCCGGGUCU